ACGUAUGGCCAAAGCACUUGGAAUACGCCUGAUCCCGGUAGGUCUCGGUAGCUAAGCAGGUUGGAGCAUGGAUAGUGCUUGAAUGGGUGACCACCGUGUAUAAACCAGGCGUUGUAGGCU
rnacentral:rRNA from 1 species